GCGUUGCUAAUAGGUCUGAUCUUAAGCUUUUACUCUGAAGCCUGAAGACAGCUGUCAUGGAACAUAGACGCGGCACUGUUGGGAAUGGAGAGGUCGCUAUUGAUUUUCCAGGAGAAGGAAACUACAGCCAAAGACCUGCACCGCAUUCACCAACCCUUGGCCAUGUACACUGGAAUUCAUUUAGCAUUGAAAAUGAAACUCCUCGACAACAAAGCAACCCUGGCGUGAAUGCAAAAGUGAAGAAGACAAAACGAACUCCGAUAGAGUGGCUGAAGAAGUACUUCUUAGAAGGU